GUAUCAAACAGGAUUAGAUACCCUGGUAGUCCACACGGGUAAACGAUGAAUACUCGCUGUUUGCGAUAUACAGCAAGCGGCCAAGCGAAAGCGUUAAGUAUUCCACCUGGGGAGUACGCCGGCAACGGUGAAACUCAAAGGAAUUGACGGGGGCCCGCACAAGCGGAGGAACAUGUGGUGUAAUUCGAUGAUACGCGAGGAACCUUACCCGGGCUUAAAUUGCAGAUGAAUUACGGUGAAAGCCGUAAGCCGCAAGGCAUCUGUGAAGGUGCUGCAUGGUUGUCGUCAGCUCGUGCCGUGAGGUGUCGGCUUAAGUGCCAUAACGAGCGCAACCCUUGUUGUCAGUUACUAACAGGUUCCGCUGAGGACUCUGACAAGACUGCCAUCGUAAGAUGUGAGGAAGGUGGGGAUGACGUCAAAUCAGCACGGCCCUUACGUCCGGGGCUACACACGUGUUACAAUGGGGGGUACAGAGGGCCGCUACCACGCGAGUGGAUGCCAAUCCCAAAAACCUCUCUCAGUUCGGACUGGAGUCUGCAACCCGACUCCACGAAGCUGGAUUCGCUAGUAAUCGCGCAUCAGCCACGGCGCGGUGAAUACGUUCCCGGGCCUUGUACACACCGCCCGUCAAGCCAUGGGAGCCGGGGGUACCUGAAGUGCGUAACCGCGAGGAGCGCCCUAGGGUAA
rnacentral:rRNA from 1 species